AACAUCGCGCACCUGCGGGAACCUGCGGAAGGAUCAUUACAGAGUUGCAAAACUCCCUAAACCAUUGUGAACGUUACCUAAACCGUUGCUUCGGCGGGCGGCCCGGGUCCUUCCCGGCGCCCCUCGGCCCUCGCGGGCGCCCGCCGGAGGUAAACCAAACUAUUGCAUUGUAUGGCCUCACUGAGUCUUCUGUACUGAAUAAGUCAAAACUUUUAACAACGGAUCUCAGAUCGGAAGAGC
rnacentral:misc_RNA from 1 species